UCAAUUUUGGAUCAAAAUAUAGAAUUUAAAAGGGAGAGUUUAAUUGGGUGGUAAUUAAUCUUGUUGUGGGGACUUGAUGAUUGAAAAGUGUCCAUGAUCUAUUAUUAAUUGGCUGCCAAUUAUAGUAAUUGUAGUGCCACUGAUCCGCCUCUCUUGUCUUCCUCCAAAUGUGAAAAACCUCAGCUCCUUCACAUGAUCAAAUUAAAGAAGCUGCCUAACCAAUUUCCAUUUGGAGAAAAAGCUAUUGUGAUGGCGACGAUGUGGAUGAUUGUGUGCGCGAUAAUUUUGGUGAUCGUCGGCGGCGCGAGCAGCCGGCAUGCGGCAAGGUCCCCUUCACUCCACUGCUCAACGCUACUAAAAAAGGAGCAGUUUGCAUGGACAGCUCACCAGACGGCUACUAUUCAAGUGAGCCACCCUAUUGUAACUAUGAAGGAAGUAGCCACAGAAUUGGAAAGUUUGAAGAUAUCUUUCACGAAUGCAUGGCGUGGUCUGUUCCGAUGGCGAAGAUGAGAGAGUUAGGGUUCAUGGGAUUGAGGGGAAUUCUUUGACUGAAGAUUUCCUUGAAGAUGAAUUAAGUUGUUCCGAUGGUGAAGAUGAGAUAGUCAGGGUUCAUGGUAGGGGUGAGCAAACUGAAAUUUUGAAAUA